GUAGCUUUGCUCAGUGGGUAGAGCUAAGGGCUCGAGACCGGGAGGUCCAGGUUCGAAUCACGCAAGAGACG
rnacentral:tRNA from 1 species